rnacentral:rRNA from 1 species
UACGUAGGGUGCGAGCGUUGUCCGGAAUUAUUGGGCGUAAAGAGCUUGUAGGCGGUCUGUCGCGUCUGCUGUGAAAAUCCGGGGCUCAACCCCGGACUUGCAGUGGGUACGGGCAGACUAGAGUGUGGUAGGGGAGACUGGAAUUCUCGGUGUAGCGGUGAAAUGCGUAGAUAUCGAGAGGAACACCUGCGGCGAAGGCGGGUUGCUGGGCUGACACUGACGCUGAGGCGCGAAAGCUAGGGGAGCGAACGGG